CAAUCAUCUAAAUGCAUGGCACAGUUGGAAAAAUGGACAGAGAAUAAGGAUAUACUUCUUGGAAACUUUUGACCAGGAAAUAUUUGAAGGUUGAUGUGAGUUCCAGCAGGCUUCCUGGCUACAGAACAGCAUUACCCCAAUGCUUGAAUUUUAACAUUGCUCAUUGCUUAGUUACACUCAAAAGCAGAUAAACAAGAAAUUG
ensembl:lncRNA